rnacentral:rRNA from 1 species
AUGAAGCUCCAUGCCGCGCUCGCGGGCCCUGCCGUGCAGAGCCCGUAUCACUUUUAUCAAGGUGUAGGCAGGCCCGCCUCGCCCACCUUGCUAACAGUUAGGAUACUUUGUGAUGGGGUGAUGGAGCUCCUGAAGAAGUUGGCACAACUAAGAGGUCUCGGCAACGACCCGAUACUUCGCCUCGUCAAGGAGUAUGCGCAGGAUAGUUGUUCAGUGAGGGUGGACGGACGUCCAGGACAUAGCGACAGCGUCGAGGGUUGGCGCCGCCGCCGCCGCUGCCGCCUCCCCAUCAGCCCAUCCCAGCUCCUCCAGCGUCGGCUACCGGACAAGGCUUCCUCCUCAGAUCCGUUUCUCCCCCAAACCUUCUGGUCUUCCUUUCCGCUAGGCCGCCAUGAUGGUUGCAGAGGAGGGGAGGAAGGGGAUGGCAUCGAGGUUCUGACGGUGGCCCUACUCGAGGUGGCAAGAGACUGGGGCGACUCGGGCGAAACCUUGCGCGCCGCCGCCCCCCUCCACUUAGCCCCCGCCCCCCUCGCCGCCGUCGGGCGUCACCGCCGGGCAAAGCCCGUGCGGCAGCCGGCGGCGGCGGGCCUCUCCUUGCUCUGCCGUGUGCGCUGGACGGCCCUGGACGGCUCGGCGUGCUUCGCGGGGCCGCGCGCCGGGGCGGAUCUGGCCUCCUGGCCUCUUCUGCUGCGCGGUGGCGCUGGGCGCUGGGGCGGCGGCCCCAGACUGCGACAGCGUCGUCCUCCCCUCCUCCUCGCAGUGGAGUCGUGGCGGCGUGCCGGUUGGCGGUGGAUGCGGGCUUCGUGCCCGGAUCCGGCGGGGCGCAGGCCGUCGGCGGGAUGCGGCGGCGCUGGCCGUCCUGGGCCCCGCGGGCGGCAGGGCGGACGCGCGUGGUGGUGGGCCGGUGGCUCGGGGCGGCCGUGGGUGGAUCUGGAGCUGCAGCUUCCGGCCUCCCUAGCUUGGCGGAGCUGUUUGGCAGAGCCGGCCCUCUGGGAAGGUGUUGUGGUGUGCCCCGGCCGGCGUGGUGCCGGUUUGGGCUGCUGGGCACCCCGGGUUGUGGCCUCUGCAUGGUGCGGGUGGUCCUGCCUCGGGCUGUGUUCGCGGCGCUACUUCCUCCCAGACCCGGCUUGUGGAGCGUGGUGGGCUGCAAUGGUUUCUGCAGCCGGUGGUGGUUGGCGGUGGCGUGCUGCUUUGCGUGCUUGGUCACGUAGCUUGGGGGAGGACGGUCGGCAUGUUGCCGGAGACGGUUUGCUGGGCAGGCUGUGGACGUCGUUCCCUCCUUGGAGGCGUCGUCGUGGAGCCCCUUCACCACCAUUGUCGCCUCGGUCUCGGGCUCUCCGGGUGAAAACCCAAGUUUCGACCUUGGUCGGAGCGGGCGUCGGCGGCGUACUUGUCGCUUCCCUCUUGGGGGCGAUGCCUUGGAGGUCUGGUCCUUCGUCAGGUCGCGGUGGCUCGGGUGGCUUUGCGGGUUCAUCGUCGGCCAGGCGUGUGCGCGGCCUCGGGGCCGGUGAGGAAGUCGGAGCGGCGGCUCCGGAGAACAAGGUUGUGGAGUGUCGGAUCUGGUCGCGUGGGCGGCAGCGUCGUCGGCUCAGGUGGAGCGCGGCCUCGGGGCCGGCGGGGAAGUCGGAGCGGCGGCUCCGGAGAGCACCUCUGUGCUGUGGAGUGUCGGUUCUGGUCGCGUGGACGGCAGAGUCGUCGACUCGUGUGGAGUGCGGCCUCGGGGCCGACGUGUGUGAGUUUAAGUGGUUUGUAAGCCGGAGUGGCGGCUCCAGGUCGUGUGGUGGGGUGGCAACUCUGGUCGUGUGGGCGACAGGGAAGUCGGCAGAGCUCCUGCUGUUUCCUCGGAAAAAAAAGGCAAGAGACUGCCGACUCCAGGUUUGGAAGGUGCUAUCCAAGGAUGCGAAAACUCGGAUUGUUCCUCCGGCCACUACACCGCAGCCCUGGCGUCUAAGCCUGCAGUGGCACCACCAGUCCCUCCUCUCUGUCUCUCCCGCCGUCCUAACAAACUGCCUCUUGUGUUUGUUGAUUUGCGGGCUUAUUGGUUUUGGUUCGUUUUUUCAUCCUCGAAAUAUUGUCGCUUACCUUAAUUGUCCUACAUUUGUGAGGUUGCUGAGGAGGUUGAGUUCUUACAGGUGGCGUAAAACUUCAGUCGCCUUCGAUGGAGUGAAGGUUUUUUUUUUGGCAUGUGCACAGAGAGCCUGCUUGGUUGCUUAUGACCAGGCUGCUUUGAUAAGAUUGGCAUGGCAGAUGGAUCAUGGUAGUUGUUUGUGCUGGACACCCUUUGAUGCUUUUAUCUUAACAUACUAUCUCCAGGUUUCUGAACCACAAAAGCAACCUGUACUAGCUGAAUCAUGUGUUGAUCCAAUUAUAACUGUAUUACAACUUCUUUUGGCUGCUAUCAAAUGCUUGGUUGAUCCCCAAAAAAGCUAUCCUGAAUUGUUUGAGUACAGUACUCUCAGGCGGCAACACAGGGCGGCGCCCCAACUGCUACUAUUUGGAGAGAUGGACUAUGCGCUUAAGUUUCCCUUCUAUACCACGCUCGAACGUCUAGACCGCAAGUGGAACAUCAUACAUUCUGAUGCUAGAGGUUCUCACAUCCUGAAGACACAAUACUUGCCAUAUGGUAUCAACCAAGAACUUUUUGCUUUGGCUGAUGAAGAUUUCACAUUCUCUCAAUCUAUCCACUAGGAUGAACUUCUGCAUCUUGAUAG